rnacentral:misc_RNA from 1 species
GGACAAUAAUGUCCUAGUCUCUGUAUUACUUAGUUUCUGCCUUAGCUGCUUCUCCACUUUCUUGAAAAAACCAAGCUGAGUCUUAAGGUCUAUAACCAUUCCUUGAUAAGUUUCAACCAAAGCACCAGAGCAAAAUUAGCUCCAUACGUAAAUUGAUGAUUCCCGGGCUGAAGAUAUGGUGGAAUUAGUGACAACUUUAAAUAAUCAGCAAUAAAAUCUGGAAUUAUUCGGCCAUCAGAGAACCUUCCAGUAGGAUACUUGAAGAAUGUCAAGAAUGUCUCGCCAUAUGGCCAGAAAUUUGCCCGGCCGGCAGCAUUUUUGAGGUAGUUAUUAUUUCCAGAAUCAAAUAGUGAAUCUCCGAAGAUAAACAGAGAAGCAUGCUUCUCCGGAGACUGUACAUGGCUUUGUAUGCUAAUUGGAAUGA